GCACGCCACGCCCCUCCGGCUCCCGUCCCGGCUAUUGGCUGCAUGGCGGGGAGGGGCCAGCUCCGCCCCGCCCAUCCCAGGCCCCGGGAUUGGUGGCCUGCGACAACUCCUCCAGCCUGGCCCAGUUCGCAAAUUCCAAACAGAAAUUGGGGGUCUACACGGACGAAACUUCAGCUGAUACAGAUUCUCAGAGGCGCAAGGAAUCCCGAAACCCUGCAAACCCUAGGCAAAUUUUGGAAGAGGAGGAGGGCCGGCAUCGGAGGGGCGGGGAGGGGAGGUUCUACAAAGUGAAAUAAACUUACUCCGGUUCUUGUUUGAUCUCGAUUUACAAAUGGUCACGGAAAACCAAAGAAGUGGUCUCUACCGCGAGCGAUUUAUUGGAACCUUGUCAGCCUUUUGAAACUGCUAUGGAGUGGUCAGCUUGGAUUUGCCAUACCCUCCUGCUAUGAUAUUCUGCUCUCACCAUGGCCAAGAGACAGUAGAGUCAGCUGGCAUACACUGAAACCACUGGAACCGUGAGCCAACUAGACCUUCGCUGGUGUUUCUAUCAGGAAUGUUGUUACUGGGAUUUAAAAACAAACAUCAUCUACUGGGAAAAGAUAAACAGUAACCAAAGAGCUUUCAACAAGACAAAAGCAAAAUGACAGCUUCUGUUAGAAAAGGUACCUGGGGCUAUGAGGACUUAACAUGGGGAAAUGGAAGAAUACGAGGUAGAGAUAAAACAGAUGUUGGACAUGAGAUCUGACAGAAACAGGUUUGCCAGUCUAAGGAGCAGCCUGUUCCUGUAGGAUGCAAACAGACAAGGAUAGUUAUGGUUGCAUCCCAACAACAACAAAAGACCAUACGAUUACAUACAGCAUUGUGAGGACCAGGGAUGUCGUUGAUCGAAUACUUGCUGGCAUACUUCAAGACCGGGGUCAAUUCUCAGUACUUGGUGAAAACAGGCAUAGUGGUACAUAUAUGUAAUUCCAGCCCAAGAGAGAUGGAGCCCAGACUCUCAGAAGUUCAGUGUUAUACUUGGCUACAUUGUGAGUCUAAGGCCAGCCUGGGUUGUGUGAAACCUUGUCUGGAGAGAGACAGAAUUUUUUUGUAUUUUUUUUUUCUAACUUGAUUAUGCAGUUCUCUGGCAUGAACUUUGUAGAUGACAACAUUGUGUUGAGAUGUCAAGAAGUUGGGCACACCUGCCAGUGUAGCACAGACAAAGGCCCGGAGAUGUGAAGUUGAGAAACUGAAAGGUUAGGCUGGGUGAAGUAUGGAGAAAGGUAGCGACCUGGCCAAAUAGGGGGUCUUGCAUUUUAACCUGCUUACACUACAGCUACACAGCUACCCACUACAAUAUACCCUAAGAACAACUGAAUCACAAGGCUGCCAAUGUAUCUGAGUUUUCAAUAAAUCACUGUGGCUGGUGUACAGAAUGGCUGACAGGAAGGACAGGAGAGUGUAUGUAAGUAAUGGGACACCAGCUACUAGAUUAUUUCAAAAAGCCAGGCACGGGGCUGGAGAGAUGGCUCAGCCUUUAGGAGCACUAGCUGCUCUUCCUAGAGCUCCUGAGUUCAAUUCCCAGCAAGCACAAGGUGGCUCACAACCAUCUGUAAUGAGAUCUGGCGCCCCCUUCUGGCCUGCAGGCAGAACACUGUAUACAUAAUAAAUAAAUUUUAAAAAAACCAAAAAAAAAAAGCCAGGCAGGAAAGCUUGGUGACUCUGAUUAAGAUAGUGACAAGGACUUUUAGAAGAGUGGAUUCUAUUUUUUUUCCCAUCCGUGAAUAACAGAAAACCAA